rnacentral:lncRNA from 1 species
GUUCGGAGAAAAAUUCGGUCGUUUGACGUGAAUGACAAGAAUAACGACACGAAUGUUCCCGCUUUUUUUGCGUUUGUUGUGUUGGUUGUUUACUUUCGUAAAAAAGCUCUAACUAAUUUGAUCGAUUAUUGCGAUUAUACUGAACUUUUCUUUGUUUCUUUGUGAAAUAUCGACCAUAUUGUUGCUUAUAGUGUUUUAAAAUAAUACCUGAAAAGCAGUAUUAAGUCCAAUUCAGCGAUUUUAGCUGUAAAGAUGGACGGCCCUACUGAAAACCAUCAGAAUCAGGACCAAACUAUCAACAAAAAUAUGUGCCACUUAUGCAGUAAAAUGUUUUCUCCCAUUUCAGCUAAGAACAAACAUAUUAAGGUUAUUCAUAAGCAGCAACCCAGCGAAGAAAGAUUUGAGGAAUAGUUAAGAGAGCAUAAAAUAUGCACACUUGUUCGCACAAGAAAAAUUGAAGACAAGAUUGAAAAAGUAUAUUGUUGCAAUCGAAGCGAUUUUAGAGGUAAAUUUGUAGCAAUUUCAAUUCAAGCAAAGUAUUUAUUACAUACUGUACAUAUUCACUGGACUAUUUAGUGAAAGAUUGCUAAACAUGUUCUUAAUGUGUAGCUGUUUCUAGGAUUUCAAAGCAAAUGUAGUGUGAGAACAAUAAAAUGUAGUGGUUCUAUUAAAAUGAAUGGUGUAUGUCCUUCUCGUUUAAAUGUCAAGAUUUAUGGUGCAAGUAACAUUAUAUAGUCCUUUAGGGUAUCCACACAACGGGCCUGGAUGAUCACCAGUAGCAUGCCUGUAAGCCUUAUUUUUGUAUUGUCUUUAUGGUGUGAGCAAAGGAAGGGAAGCGAUUCUGUUUUAGGUGAACUCCUUGGGGAAUGUUCUUCCAAUAAUAUUGAAGCUAGCCAUAGUGUAGAAAUUGAAAUGUUUGUUAAUGAGAAGCCAACUGAAAAUCAACAAGUAGUAGUACAACGACUGAACAAGCAAUCAACAAGAGAAAUUGAAAUUGAGAAUGUAUCAAACUUUUUAAGAUCUUUAAAUGAUGAAACUUAUGAUAAGUACACGAGACAACUGACAUCAAUGAUGGAACAGGUAAAUAAGACAAAUACAGGUAAACGAAAAAUGGACAAACAAGUUUAUUUGCCAUCAAAGAAGAAGAAGGAGCAGUAAAUAAAAAUAAUAAAUUGUAUAUUUUUUUCUAUUUAUCAGUAUUUUUUUUAUAUAAUAGGUAUAUUUUUAUAGUUUUAAGUAUAUAUGUAUAUGUGUAUUUUAAUUUUUUAUGUAAGUUUUAGGCAAAUAUUUGAAAAAAUAUUACCUAUCUCAUAAG